rnacentral:ncRNA from 1 species
ACUCCGGUUGAUUCUGCCGGAGGCCACCGCUAUUGGGGUUCGGCUAAGCCAUGCGAGUGGAGGGCGUCCCGCAAGGGAUGGCCCCGCACACGGCUCAGUAACACGUAGUCAACCUACCCUCGGGACGGGGAUAACCUCGGGAAACUGAGGACAAUCCCCGAUAGGUGAGGGACGCUGGAAUGCCCCCUCACUCAAAUCCUCCGGGGCCCGAGGAUGGGACUGCGGCCUAUCAGGCUGUUGGUGGUGUAACGGACCACCAAACCUACAACGGGUACGGGCGAUGGGAGUCGGAGCCCGGAGAUGGGGACUGAGACAAGGCCCCAGGCCCUACGGGGCGCAGCAGGCGCGAAAACUCCGCAAUGCGCGAAAGCGUGAC